rnacentral:lncRNA from 10 species
GCCGGCCGAGACUUCUGGAUGGCGGCGGCCGCGGCUCCGCCCCGGGUUCCCACCGCCUGAAGGGCGAGACAAGCCCGACCUGCUACAGGUUGCUCCUUGAGGGCAGGACAGUUCUUAUGGCUUUAUCCGUUGCGUAAGCACAGAGAGGUCUGCGAGGUCAAAACUAUUGUCAUGAUAGCAAGAUGCCUGUCUUUUUCAUUUAUUCUCACGGUGUGCAGAGGCUACAUGAUGUGUGAUGACAUCCUCAUUGAUGUUAAUGAAUGGUGCUAUACUUGAAUUUUCUAAGGUGUCAUUAGCAAUUCUCCUGCCUCAGCCUCCUGCAUAACUGGGACUACAGGGAAGCACCAUUUUCCACAAAACUCUCAAGAAGGACUUGUUGCAACUGGAAAAGCAAUUAAAUGUGAAUCGUGAUCCAGGAGAAAGUAACAACUCACAUAAC